UGAGGAAUUUUGCGCAAUGGGCGAAAGCCUGACGCAGCAACGCCGCGUGGGGGAUGAAGGCCCUCGGGUUGUAAACCCCUUUUCUGGGGGAAGAUAGUGACGGUACCCCAGGAAUAAGUCACGGCAAACUACGUGCCAGCAGCCGCGGUAAUACGUAGGUGGCUAGCGUUGUCCGGAUUUACUGGGCGUAAAGCGCGCGCAGGCGGUUUGGAAAGUCUGUGGUGAAAUCUCUUGGCUCAACCAAGAGGGGUCUGCAGAUACUCCCAGACUUGAGUGGCGUAGACGAAGGUGGAAUUCCGGGUGUAGUGGUGAAAUGCGUAGAUAUCCGGAGGAACACCAGUGGCGAAGGCGGCCUUCGAGGCGCUAACUGACGCUGAGGCGCGAAAGCGUGGGGAGCGAACCGGAUUAGAUACCCGCGUAGUCC
rnacentral:rRNA from 1 species